CAUUCUCCACAUCCUCUUUUGUUCUAGUGCAUGGCAUGGGAAGCCCUCUCUAGGAGGAUGCUGUGGCCACACAAGUGCUGGACGAACCGCUGGAGUAGGUGACUUCCAAGGUGUCCUGAUGUAGUAGCUAUUAGACAAGCUCCUGCAUUUGGCCAGUAAUUAGCAUGCUGCUGCACAUUGCCACUAGGUGGUGCUGCUGCUCCAUUCCCAAGUAACCCACAUGCAUCCCUGGCUGGGGUCAGCCUUGGGGUUUCCCAAGUGUAGAGGAAUCCAUCUCUGUGCCUGUGGUAAUGGCUGGACACCAGGAGAGACCCAGAAAACAGGGAUAUCCUAGAAGAGAAAGGCAAAAUAAGCACUCAGAGCAGAGGACAUUUGAGUGUCAAUAAUGAAGGUGGCAGCAGUAAUCAUGGCUAUCAUUUACUAAAAAUAGUGGAUAUUGGCCAGACAUGGUGGCUCACACCUGUAAUCCCAGCAUUUUGGGAGACCAAGGUGGGUGGAUCACUUGAGGUCAGCAGUUCGAGACCAGCCCGGCCAACAUGGUGAAACUAUCUACUAAAAAUACAAAAAUUAGCCAGGUGUGGUGGUGCACGCCUGUAGUCCCAGCUACUUGGGAGGCUGAGGAAGGAGAAUCACUUGAACCUGGGAGGUGGAGGCUGUAGUGAGCUGAGAUCGCAUCACUGCACUCCAGCCUGGACAACAGAGCAAGACUGUCUCAAAAAAAAAAAGUAGAUACUGUGCUAGUCACUUGAUACACAUCAUCUCUGAUCUUUGCACUGAGCGAGGCAUGUGUAUUAUGUCUGCAUUACAAAAGGGGAAAAAUUAAGGUUCAAGAAGAUAAAGUCACCAGGCAUGGUGGCGCAUGCCUGUGAUCGCAGCACUUUAAGAGGCUGAGACAGGCGGAUUGGUUGAAUCCAGGAGUUCAAGACCAGCCUGGGCAACAUAGUGAGACCUCAUCUCUACAAAAAAAAUAAAAUUAGCUGGGUGUGGUGGUGUGUGCCUGUAGUCACAGCUCCUCGGGAGGCUGAUGUGGAAGGAUCACUUGAGCCCGGGAGAUAGAGGCUGCAGUGAGAUGAGACUGAGCCAUUGCACUCAGCCUAGGCAACAGAGUGAGACCCUGUCUCAAAACAAAACAGAAAUAACAAAAAAUAAGGUGACUUGCUGGAGGCCACAUGGCUGUGAGCCAAAUACAGGUCUGGGUUAUCAGGGCUCACAUACUUCUAAGUACACCCUACUGCCUUGGAAUCUGCUGAAGACCAAGCCCCUGCCCCCAAGCCAUGGCAAAGAAGGAGGGAAGGAAGCAAAGGUGCCCAGCGGGGACAACUCGGGGAGGGGCGAGGUGCCCAGGGCCCAGGAAGGCCAAGCAGCAUGUGGCAGGGCAGCAUCAGGUGACUCCCAAGAAGGAAUGAGGAGAGGAUAUGAGGAAAGAGCCACAGCACAGAGGCCUGCUGUUAGGUCAGCGGAGACCACGGCCCAUGGGACCUGGAUCUACCCUUGAUGCUAACAAUGUUCUUUGGGGAAAAAAUCUAUAAUCACAAAGUUUCUGCAACUGGACUGUAGUCAUGGUUGCAGAACUGUAUAGAUUUACUAGGAACCAUCAAAUUGUUCACUUACAAUGGGUAAAUUGUACAGUACAUAGGUUAUCCCUCAGUAAAGCUGUAUGAAAUUUAUAGUCAUGAAACUAAUAGUGACAAACGAGCUGGGUAAGUAGGUCUCAGCUGUUCUGUAGGCACUUUGAGAAGAGGAAGAGUAGCAUCUCGGUUUUAAUAAAAGAAAGCCUGGCCCAUGGCGUCCAGCUUCUGCUUGAAUACUUUCAGUGCCCGGGAGCUCAGUAUCUCAAAGCAGCCCACUCCUGUUUAAGAGAACUCUAAACCUUAGAAUGUUGAAAUACAUCAUUAUUAUUCUAGUACUGCUGUGAAAAAUAAAUGUCUUUGUUUUGCCACAU
ensembl:lncRNA LINC02210 long intergenic non-protein coding RNA 2210